rnacentral:misc_RNA from 1 species
CUUCACCCUCUCAAUCUCAUUUCAUCUCAUCAUCACCAAGAAAAUGGGCAGCACCACCGCACUCACCGCUCCAUUUCCGGCUACCUCCUUCCUCCGGCGGCAUCCGGCUGGUGGAGUGAGCCUAAGGCCAUUUCCCAACGUGGGUCAGUCUCUGUUCGGGCUGAAGCAGGGCGGCAGCCGUGGCGGACGAGUGACGGCGAUGGCGUACAAGGUGACUCUCAUAACCCCAGAUGGAGAGAAAUCAAUUACAUGUAGUGGUGAUGAUUACAUUUUAGAUGCGGCUGAGGAAAGCGGGAUUGAUCUUCCUUACUCUUGCAGAGCUGGGGCUUGUUCUUCUUGUAUUGGGAAAGUGAAAUCAGGGAAAUUAGAUCAAUCUGAUAAUAGCUUUCUUGAUGAUGAACAGAUGGCUGAAGGUUGGGUUUUAACUUGUGUUGCUAGGCCUGAAUCUGAUCUUGUUAUUGAGACUCACAAGGAGGAAGUGUUUGCUGGUUAAAACAGAGGAACAAGAAGGGGGAAGGAGGAUUAAACUUUUUUUUUUUCUUUUCAAUCUUUGUUGAUGAAAGUAAGCAAAAUGGACACUGUUUUCUUCGCUUGAUGAUGAUGAUAUCUCUCUUUCUAAGUGUUUGUUGAAUGUUGUAUUGUUCAUCACUGGUUUAAGUUGAUUUUCAUAACUUGGGUUUUGUUCAUCUCUUGUUGGGUUGUCCA